rnacentral:lncRNA from 1 species
UUUAAGUCAACUGAAUUUUAUUCCAUUGACAGGUUAGCAUGACUAUCUUUGAAGAUGAAAAAAAUUGUUGCUUGUUGGGAGAAAAAUUGGGAGUGGAUAAGGUAUUAAGACUUCUAAUCUAAUGAGGAAGGCAUCAAUCCUUACUCAUAUGAUUCCUGGCCACAAUUCCUCUUUAUAUCAACUACCUUAGAAUGUGCAUAGCAGCAUCUAUAAAUAUAAAUCAGAAUGGAGUUGUUUCAAGAACAGUGUACAUAUUUUUAAAAGCAUCACUUAAAGCAUUCUUUCAUGACAAAGCUUAAGUCACUUUUGUUUUAUCAUAAAUAAAGGGAAUGCAGGACAAAUUCUUGGCACAAAGUUAUCUGUCGAAAAGUAAAUGCUGUUUGUUAUCAUGAGUGAUUUAUUGCCAAUAUUAUGAUUUUCAGAUGCACUGAGUUAGUUGGUCUCAUCUUUUUAUGGGCUACAUUGACUUCUAUUCCUUCUCCUCAACUUGUGCCAUGGAAACUAUGCAGUGAAAUAAAUCUCAAGGGGAUAAUAGUGUGAUGAAUUGGUUUUGCAAAAUGCGUUUUUUUUUAUUUCCACAUAUAUAUCACUCCUUCCUGAUAGGAAAGAAAAUAAUUGGCAAGAUUAGUGUUCUAAGUCUGUAAGCAAUUUUUUCUUUGAAAGUUCAGUAACUCAUGAAAUUUAUUAAAAGUAUUAAUUUAGCACCUAUGAUGUGCCAGGAACUGAGGGUACUAAGGAUCUGGCAACAACAACAACAAAAAAAACAGGUUAAGCCUCUGUCUUCACUGCGUUGACUUUCAAGUGGAGAGUCUGACAGGUCAACAAACAAAUAUUAUAAAUAUAUCCAUAAGAAGCCAGCAGCAAGUACUAUAAAAAAUCAAGGAAUACAAAAGCAAAAAUAAUAAAUGAACGGGUUAAAUGUUAUUUUCUGUAGUCUGGUCAGAGAGGCCAGAUUUCUGAAAUAGAGCUAGUUUAAGGAAAAAAAAGCACUAGUAUAAGAAAAAAACUAAAGCUAUUAAUAUCUUGAGAAAUUGAAAUUCACAAAACAAUAAGGGAAGGAAUGCCAUCAGAAUGCUUUCUGAGGUAGUGCGCUCUUGUUCCAAUAGGAAUUUUAAUUUUAAUUUUUAUGGUAAGAAAACUGCCAUUUUGAAAAGGCCUUUCUGAGCAUUCAAUGCCUUCACACUGACCUGUCUAGUAAACAAAGGUUAUGCCUUACUAUAUGAUUUUUUAAUGUAAGGCGUGCAUGAUAUUUAACCCUCAGUUUCUUAAAGUGAGCAUCAGUUUUUAAAAUGUGAUGGACAGCCUAAUUUGAGGAUAAUUUUAGAAAGACUCUCAAAUGUAAUUCAUACAUUUUUCUGGAAGUUUCUUCUAAUAGUUAACAUUUUUCAUGUUGUAAUUAUAUAAUGUACAAAUAAUGCAUAUAAUGUAUAAUGUCAUGUUGUAAUUAUAUAAUAUACAAAUAUUUAAACAAAUGUCUAAAAUGUAGGUUAUGUGGAUUAUUUACACUAUGCAUGUUUUCUCCUCUGAUUGAGAAACUACCAUCAAUGUUAAAUUUAGAAUUUAUCCUAACAGACGAAAUCAAAUAGAAUUUGUCAUAAUUUAAAUUGUAAUUUGUUCAUCAUAUAUACAUAUUAGUCUACACCCAUGAAUAUAUUGUUAUAAAUUACAUGCACAUUUGUUUUUUGUUUUAAUGAAGAAUCAUCCUGGACUGGUACUUUGUUUUAGCUAGAGCUUGUUAGCAUAGAUACCAUCAACAUCUAGUGAAAUCAUCUUUAAGGGAUCUGGAUUUAUGAUAUCUGUGGAGUGAGAGUCAUACUGGCCAACAUCCAGUCAUGUCAUUAAAAUUUAGAGGCGGAUCUUCUGAAAUGAGAGAAUAAAAUCUUCUUUGUGUAUAAAUUGUUUUAUUAGAUAAUGUGUUGAUACUGUAAUAUUUCAACUCAGGUAGAAGGCAUUUUAAUUAAUAUGUGGAUUAAAAUACCUAUAAAUCUUAAUGAAGGUGAAAUCUAUUCCUUAUCUAGACACAUCUGAGCCAGGCAACAGAUGGAGCAGGUCCUUGAACCAGACCUUGAAUCAGGACCACUGCUUAACCUGACACUUGCUUAGAGGCAUAGGCUUAUUAAACUCUCUGCUUCAGGACUCCAGUAAUGCAAUCUCGGUGAAGAAAAAUAAAAUUUAGUAUACCUGAAAUUAACACUUUAUACCAGCAAAUUUGAAAUAGCAAUAUGUUAGAGACAUCUAGCCCUAAGAAAAACUUGAUGAUCUUGGCACCAAACAAAUCCUUUGAUGUCUCAUUAAUAUGUCCUGUACCAUAACUCUGGAUAUGGAUUUUUCUCUGUCUUCUAGUAACUAUGAAGCAUGAGAUAAUUUAUCCAAAUUCCUGGGCUUGGGAUGAAGAUGCUUUUGCAUUGUUCACAGGUAGCCAAUUUUAUUAGUUCAUUCUGUCACUUGUAUCAACUGGACCUGUUUUCUGACCAAUAGGCUAGGACAUAAGGGGAUUAGAUUAAUCACUAAAGUCUUUUAUAACUCAAAAUAUGAAUCGGACUAUUUUGACUAGUGAAUAUUUUAUCAAGUCAAAAGAUUAGAUUUUAUUUUUUCCAAGUCCUACCUUAACGUUCAUUGUUCUUUAAAGAAGAAUUACAUUUUAAAAAUCAUUGUCUAUAACAAUAUAAAUGAGUUACUAAAAUCCGUCAAACACAUGACGGAUAAUUUUUGAUGCUGGUGGAAGGGAUAUGAUAAAAAGUCAAAGGCUUGGAGUCCUCAGCAGAGAAAUAACUGGUCUCAGAAAUAGCUUUAAUUAAAUGAAGAUUAAUAAAAUGCAAAAAAUAAAAAA